rnacentral:rRNA from 1 species
UGCCUGUUUAUCAAAAACAUGUCUGUGUGAAUUAGUUAUAAAGUCUAGCCUGCCCACUGAUUUAUUUAAAGGGCCGCGGUAAUUUGACCGUGCGAAGGUAGCAUAGUCAGUAGUCUUUUAAUUGGAGGCUUGAAUGAAUGGUUGGACGAGGGACAAGCUGUCUCCUUUACGGUGCUCGAAUUUAACUUUUGAGUGAAAAGGCUCAAAUUAUUUAGAGGGACGAUAAGACCCUAUAAAACUUGAUAUAAUUCGAACUUGACUUGUGAUCUGAGUGAAAAAUAGUCUUGUUUGGUUUAUAUUUCGUUGGGGAGAUGAAGAUAUAAUGUGUAACUGUCUAUUGAAUUUUAUAGUAUUAAUUAGAAUUUGAUCCUUCUUUGAGGAUUAGGAGAAUAAGUUACUUUAGGGAUAACAGCGUGAUUUUCUUUGAGAGUUCUUAUCGACAAGAGUAGUUGCGACCUCGAUGUUGAAUUAAAAUUUCAGCUAGGUGUAGCCGUUUAGCUGGUGGGUCUGUUCGACCUUUAAAAUUUUACAUGAUUUGAGUUCAAACCGGUGUGAGCCAGGUUGGUUUUCUAUCU